rnacentral:lncRNA from 1 species
AAGCAGGAGACAGCUAAGAAAGAAAUAAAAUAAAAGAAAGACAGCAGCACGCGGGGGAGAGAAAUAAUGAGGAAAGAAAGAAUGAAAGAGAUUAACGGAAGGGAGAGGACCGACGCGGGGAGAGGAUAGACAGCGCAGAGAGGUCAGAAACAAGAAAGAAAAAAAAUAUAAAAAAAAUAAAGGAAGGGGCAGCGUGAGAUUAAGGGGAGAAACCAAGCUGCCUUUGCAGCUGGGCAGAGGGCAAGCAGCAGAAACCGGGGGCUGCCCUUUGGCAGCGAGGUCAGAGAGAAGCAGCACUUGCUGUUGUGCAGGAGAAAAGAAACCGAGAGGAGGUAUUAGCCUCGAGGACAGAGAGCAAAAAUCUGCCUCUUGGCAGCAAAGGCAUCAGCACGGAGAACCAAGAAAAGAAUUGUGCAGUGCGAGAAAUAGAGAGCAGAACCUGUGGAGCGCCAAUUCACUCUCUUUCGGUUAAAUCCUUCCAAACUCAUAUUUUAUUUCUGUUUUAAUAAUGUGUAACUAAAUUUAUUUUGGCUAGAGGUUAAUUCAAA